AGUGAACGCUGGCGGUAGGCCUAACACAUGCCAGUCGAACGGCAGCACAGUAAGAGCUUGCUCUUACGGGUGGCGAGUGGCGGACGGGUGAGGAAUACAUCGGAAUCUACUUUUUCGUGGGGGAUAACGUAGGGAAACUUACGCUAAUACCGCAUACGACCUACGGGUGAAAGCAGGGGAUCUUCGGACCUUGCGCGAUUGAAUGAGCCGAUGUCGGAUUAGCUAGUUGGCGGGGUAAAGGCCCACCCAGGCGACGAUCCGUAGCUGGUCUGAGAGGAUGAUCAGCCACACUGGAACUGAGACACGGUCCAGACUCCUACGGGAGGCAGCAGUGGGGAAUAUUGGACAAUGGGCGCAAGCCUGAUCCAGCCAUACCGCGUGGGUGAAGAAGGCCUUCGGGUUGUAAAGCCCUUUUGUUGGGAAAGAAAAGCAGCAGGUUAAUACCCCGCUGUUCUGACGGUACCCAAAGAAUAAGCACCGGCUAACUUCGUG
rnacentral:rRNA from 1 species